AUACUGGCUCAAGGGUGGUGAUUCCAUGAUCACAGAAGAUGGCUUCCAGGGCGAGAGGCUUCCUCCAUUGCACCUGGAUGUGUUGACCUCAUGAUUUCCCCAAAUGCGGGAAACUCGACUGUAUAAUUUGUGUUAGUGGGGGACUGCGUUCGCGCUCUCCCCUC
ensembl:snRNA U1 U1 spliceosomal RNA